rnacentral:snoRNA from 1 species
UGGUCAUUACCCAGGCUGUGAGCAUGCAGUGUUCAGAGGAGCCGUGGCCAUGACCACAGAAAAUUUCCGUAGGUUUUUGUCUUGUUGCUACCUUGCUAGGGACAAACAAUUGGGGACAUCA